CCAAGGAUAAUAGAUUUUAUAUAAGUGUAUAUCCUAUUCCUACAAUGAACUCACUGUAGUCAACAUGCAAUCGCAAAGAUCUAUAUGGCUAGGAGAUCAAUUAUAUCUAUAGUUAAAGUACAAUAAUCUCAUUGUGAAUAACUAAGGCACCGUAGGUCAAAAGACUAGUCACACUACUGUAGUAUCGAGAAAGUCAUUGAGAGUGGAUAGAUAUCUAAGUGAUUUCUUGUAUUGGUCAUACUCGAUAACCUUAUUCUCUAACAAUCAUCUAUAUGUUUACUCCAA
rnacentral:lncRNA from 1 species